rnacentral:rRNA from 1 species
GAUGAACGCUGGCGGCGUGCUUAACACAUGCAAGUCGAACGAUGAAGCCCAGCUUGCUGGGUGGAUUAGUGGCGAACGGGUGAGUAACACGUGAGUAACCUGCCCUUGACUCUGGGAUAAGCCUGGGAAACUGGGUCUAAUACUGGAUAUGACUUCUCAUCGCAUGGUGGGGGGUGGAAAGAUUUAUUGGUCUUGGAUGGACUCGCGGCCUAUCAGCUUGUUGGUGAGGUAAUGGCUCACCAAGGCGACGAUGGGUAGCCGGCCUGAGAGGGUGACCGGCCACACUGGGACUGAGACACGGCCCAGACUCCUACGGGAGGCAGCAGUGGGGAAUAUUGCACGAUGGGCGCAAGCCUGAUGCAGCGACGCCGCGUGAGGGAUGACGGCCUUCGGGUUGUAAACCUCUUUCAGUAGGGAAGAAGCGAGAGUGACGGUACCUGCAGAAGAAGCGCCGGCUAACUACGUG